rnacentral:rRNA from 1 species
AGAUGCGACCGGCGCACGGGUGAGUAACACGUAUCCAACCUGCCGAUAACUCGGGGAUAGCCUUUCGAAAGAAAGAUUAAUACCCGAUGGUAUAAUCAGACCGCAUGGUUUGAUUAUUAAAGAAUUUCGGUUAUCGAUGGGGAUGCGUUCCAUUAGGCAGUUGGUGAGGUAACGGCUCACCAAACCUUCGAUGGAUAGGGGUUCUGAGAGGAAGGUCCCCCACAUUGGACUGAGACACGGCCAA